CCGCGUGAGUGAUGAAGGUUUUCGGAUCGUAAACUACUGCUGUCAGGGAAGAACAAGUACCGGAGUAACUGCCGGUACCUUGACGGUACCUGACCAGAAAGCCACGGCUAACUACGUGCCAGCAGCCGCGGUAAUACGUAGGUGGCAAGCGUUGUCCGGAAUUAUUGGGCGUAAAGCGCGCGCAGGCGGUUCCUUAAGUCUGAUGUGAAAGCCCCCGGCUCAACCGGGGAGGGUCAUUGGAAACUGGGGAACUUGAGUGCAGAAGAGAAGAGUGGAAUUCCACGUGUAGCGGUGAAAUGCGUAGAGAUGUGGAGGAACACCAGUGGCGAAGGCGACUCUUUGGUCUGUAACUGACGCUGAGGCGCGAAAGCGUGGGGAGCAAACAGGAUUAGAUACCCUGGUAGUCCACGCCGUAAACGAUGAGUGCUAAGUGUUAGAGGGUUUCCGCCCUUUAGUGCUGCAGCAAACGCAUUAAGCACUCCGCCUGGGGAGUACGGCCGCAAGGCUG
rnacentral:rRNA from 1 species